ACAACGGCAGCCGGAACGAUCU
rnacentral:miRNA from 1 species